AGAAGUUUAAGCUUCAUUAAUAGCAAUUAAUGUCACUAUCUUCAAGGCGUUGUUAUCUUCAUUAAAAGCACCAUCAUUAGCCAUCUUCAAAACAUGCUCCAAGUAAGAAUUUAAGGCUUGCUUGAACUUUUACUCCUUGCUCGUGUCAUUGGUCCUUCAUAGGCUAGUGGAUCCAUGCUAGUUGACUUAGAUGCAUCCUUGGU
rnacentral:lncRNA from 1 species